rnacentral:rRNA from 1 species
CAGUCGCCGCGGGAAUACGUAGGGUGCAAGCGUUAAUCGGAAUUACUGGGCGUAAAGCGUGCGCAGGCGGUCCGCUAAGACAGAUGUGAAAUCCCCGGGCUUAACCUGGGAACCGCAUUUGUGACUGGCGAGCUAGAGUAUGGCAGAGGGGGGUAGAAUUCCACGUGUAGCAGUGAAAUGCGUAGAGAUGUGGAGGAAUACCGAUGGCGAAGGCAGCCCCCUGGGCCAAUACUGACGCUCAUGCACGAAAGCGUGGGGAGCAAACAGGAUUAGAUACCCCCGUAGUCCCUGUCUCUUAUAC